UAAUAAUAAUUAUCCAUUGCUGUCAUCAUUUUUACUGUUAAAUAUUGUUUUCGAACAUCAAGAAGUAAUUACAUGAAAAGACAUGAAAAAAUUUGUAGUUUUAGUGCGGUAGUUAAUGUAGUUAGUGUGGUAGCCAUUAAAGCAGAAUUCAUCAUAUUACACUUAAAUUUGUUUGUUGGGUUCGUGAGUUGAUAUUUGUUAUUUUGGGCGAAUGCAUGUAUGCAUCUUUGAAUUACCAUCUACCAAUCUUUGAGACAUAUGGUCAAAAUUAACAGCAAUGGCAUCCUUAGGGGUAGUUGAUAGACAUCACGAACAAGAAUUCUUAUCUGUAAUGCAAUCUUAUGUCCUGUGGGAUACUGGUGCAGGAGCUGAUUGUUCCCAAAGUAGUGGCUUGUGUGUGCUAGGGCUCAUUCGUGCAAAGCAUGGGACAGCAAUUACAGAUUACUUAUUUGGCCAGUUUAAGGACACACAGAAUGAGAUGACCUGUCAUUGGAGCUGUUUAGGACUGGGUCUGGCUGCUACAGAAUCGCAUAUGGACGAUUGAAAUUCAGAGUUUAUCAAAAUGAUAUUAUUAUGGGUUAAGGGUUCCACUAUAGGCAUGAUCGUUCUUGGAUCCAGAUCAAUGCAAGCAAUUGAGAAUAUGGUUGUGCAGACGAGGAGCAACUGUAAUGUUUUAACAUAGAAAAGAAAAUUAAUGAAUAACGAUAAGACACAUUUUGCUCAAACCGAAGAUUCUUUUUAAUGUUUGAAAUUUUUAAUGUAAUGGGUUGAAAAUAAUUGCAAUACGAGGUUCUCCAUAGUUCUCUAUAGUUUGUGCAUAAGGGUAGACUGACAGGCGAGUAUUAUAGUGAUCUUUCACAGCGAACAGAUUAGCUUUAUUAUAAUUAGUUUAGUACAAAUUACUUUUCUGAUUAAUCAAAUAAUUUUAAAUACUUUUUCAGUUUAUCUCUCAAAUAUCAAUUAUAGUGAGAUAGUGCAUAAAAAUGCACUCGUGGAAUAUUUAAAUAUGCAAGAAUAUACAUAAACGUACAGAAGAUAUUUUCAGUAAAUAAAAAGGUUACCAAAAAAUAAUUCUAACCGUGUGUAAAGGUUGAAACUGAUCGAUUCCACAUUGAUACCUAAAAUGAUAAUAUCGAUGGAAAUGUUUAUGCACGUAUAAAUCUCGUCGCUAUUACAUGACGGGAUGACGAUUCUUCGAAAUAUUCACGUUCUUUAAGAUCAUGUGAAUUAUCAUUCUCGGUAUCUUGAGAAGCCCAUAGGGUUUUUCUAGGCUCGUUAUGCAUUACAAAGGAUUAUAUUCGGCCACAGGUAUAGGAUUCCUCUAAGUGUUCAGAAUGGACAUAAAUCAGCGAUUAAAGCCACGUGCGGCCCAACGUUGUCGUCAUCGCGCUCGCUGUUGUUUCGCGAGAUAAUCGUCACUAAUCGAUCAUAAAGCUGUCGUUUUAGACAGUUACAGAAAAAGGUAAGAAAUUGUAUCAAUUAAAAGUAAUUAUACGUGAACGCUUGAAAGAAGACUACAACUUUGCAUACAUUUAUCAUAUGUCGCGUGAAGAGCCACCGUUACUCGUAUAUUACAUCACGUUGCACUGCUGGAGUUAGUUAAUCGCGAUUAUUACAUCGCAUUAUUGCAAAUGUUGACAAUCCGAAUUUAAAGACAGGUCUGAAAGAAAAUGUGUUAAACGUACCAUCUGAACGUGUAAUCUUGCGAGAUGAUGCAUUUCCUUUGAGAGCGUAUUUUACAACGCUAUAUGUUUGCCAAACAUUAUUAUAUGCAUAGCAAAUAGAAAAUUUAUACUCAUAGAUGCUGCCGUGUUAGACGCAUAGUAGAAAAUCCACUUGGCGUACUCGCUGAUCGUUCCGCAAAGACUAGCGAAAAUCGACUUGAAACUUCGAUGGAAGUCGAUCUCAGUCUACAGCAACUAUACGUCGCUAUUGUUCCCUUAUCUCAAUUUGGAACAAUACAAAAUGUACACUGACAAUCUUAGCAUACGAAUAGGAACGUUGACAAUUGAACGUUGAUAAUUUUUAUCAAGAUGAUGCAGUUCCUGACGAGGCUGUGGGCAUCGCUAUAGGCAUGGUCAUGCCUGCAUCGAAAUCGACUCAAACAGCAGAGAAUAUGGUUGGGGACAUGGCAGCGAAUGGCUACUGGUAAUUCAGAAACUUGACGCAGGCUAGUCUGAAAAUUGUGAUAUAAUCGAAAAACGAACUUGUUAACACGAUGACUGUCACGGUGAUUAUAUUCAAACGAUCAAAAUAAGAUAAAUCUCACGGAUUAAGAAAUUUCCUACAAUGUGAAUGAUUUUGAUUAAAGAUCACAAAAGGUUAAUAACUUUUAUUAAAUUUUCUUAUCUUAAAUAUAUGAUAAACUAUAUUUUUUCAAUUAUAUGUACUUUCAUUCAUGUACUUUAUAAAAACUUUAUGUACUUUCUUUGUUAGUGAAGUCAUUCCAAAAUAUGUUUAAUUUAAAUAUAUGUAUAAUUCGGUGCGCGAUUACGUAAAUUCCUUGUAGCAGUAAUUUCACUCUAUCUAUAAAAAAUGUGAUUAAUUAAAAAUGAUAAUAUUUAAUGAAUUAAACAUAAUUAUAAAGGUUUCUUUAUGUAUUUGCUGAAGCAUACAUUUGUAUUAGAAACAAAGUGACGUUUAUUCUAUCCUUAAGGCGUACUACGGGUAGCUAUAGAUCACGACCAGUAUUGUACAUUCUUUUAUUAACAAUGAAAUGGUGUAACAAGAAGACAGUGUAUAAGUUAUCCUCUUUCCACAAUGAAGAAUUGGUUGACACGGAACAUCAUUAUCGCAUGCACAAAAUGAUUAAAAAGCCGAAGUGUGUUGUCGAUUAUAAUCGAUUGAUGGAAACUGUGAAUCAAAUCACGAUACCAAUGCAAGAUUUGCCAUGUUGUCAUAUGUGUAAUAUUAUAUUUCGAAAAAUAACACACGCAAUACCAUUAUUAAAAGCUAUUAGUAUCAUACAAUUAUAUUAUAUUAUAUCAUAUUAUUAUAUUCUGCGAUGUUAUUCGUUUCUAAAUUGUAAUUAAGAGUGAGUGUGUUAAGAAAUUAUUAAUAAUCCGUUUUGAGGGAAUUUUUUUUCUUCGAAAAACACCGUCACAGCAGCUCGAUUUGCAGCGAAGCGUAAACGCGACCGCUGACGAUCUUUCUCGCGUGCACUGUUUUGGCGCGGAGGCUCGUUCAGCGAAAGUGCCGCUGAAGAAGCCGCGCGUAGCGAAAGGGUUAAGAUGACGCUUUUGCUCGACAUCGCUAUGCAUAUGCUCAUGCUUGCAUCGAAAUCAACUCAAGGAAUUCAGGAUAUGGUUGCACUAAAUCGAAAUAAAAGUUCUCUUAUACGAAUUUGAAUGAACGAUAAAAUUAGCAGCUAUAUAUUUUUUAAUUUGCAACAUAAUCUAUACAAUUAUCUUACAAAUAUUAAAAUACACCUGUGCAAAAUACAUCCAAAUAUUAAAUAUUCAGAAGAAUAAUGUUAUCCAUCAAGAGCAUAAGGAUACUCACUGUUAGUUUUGAAGUAGUAGGUUCCUUUAGCACUGUAAAAAGAUUAACAUAUAUUAGCACCAGCUAAAUUAAAUUUUAUUAUUAAAUUAAAUUUUAAGAAAUAAUUAAACAGAUAUAUUUAGCAAUUAGCUCUCAAGUAUGUAUGCAAAUUCGUACUUUUAUGAACUCAACUAAAAGUGCAAGACUAAGAAUUUUCACUUCCUAAAUAUUAUAACAUGUACUGUCCAUUAUUUAUUUGUAUUCUACGCGUUCUUUAAAUUUCCCGGAAAUGCGUAAAAUUCCAUAAUCUAUUCGUAACAGUAGUCAAAUAAAACUUACUUAGGAUCGAGCGUAGCGCCACCCACGUAUGCUGUUGCACCAUCUGCACGUGUGCCGAGAAAGCCUUUCGGAUUCGUAAUUGAUUCAGCGAAGAUUUUGUAGCUACGCAAGUGUGCGCAAACUCC